rnacentral:lncRNA from 1 species
GCGCGCCCCUUCCCGGACAGUUCCUCUCGGCGCCCCCGAGUCCUCCCCGCGCGCCGCUUCCCGGGUGGGCCCUUCCACCAGAACCCCCUGGUAGAUCCUCCCCUGGUGCCCUGGGGGUAGAGGGGAGAUCCUCCACAAGGGCCAUUUCCCUGGUGAUCCCUCCCUGUGCCCCACAGGUGAGUCCUGCCGUAGCUCUCCAGGGGUUCCUCCUGAUGCUGGGGUCCUCCGGCAUUCCUCCCUGAGCCCCCCAAGGGCCCUGAAGCUCAGCGGCCCAGCCCUGGCCUCGGGGUCCCCACCCCACACCUCCCUUCCAGGCCUAACCUUUGCCCCCGACACCAGGCAGGGCGUGUCCUUGGCCUUCGCCGCCCAGCCCGCGUGGCAUCUCUGGACAGGUGGUCGUGCGCGCCUUGGUGUGGGCAGGCUCCGUAGCCGGCAAAGCCUCCCUGAACCGUGACCUGGUGAGAAGGCCGCAGAGGAGGUGCCUGUGCCCAGAGGCCACCUCCAAAGACCCCACCUGAGGCUGGAACCCAGCGCCUGCUGACCCCGCCAGCCCCAACAGGGCUGGAGUCCAGGAGCGGCCGUGCUCUUUCCGCAGUGAGGCAGCUGCCUUCUCUUCCCACCACCUGUCAGGAUGCCUUCCCGUGUGUGCUUGUGCACAGGUCUAAGGAGAGGAGAGUCCAGUGAGUGACCCAGACGCCCCAGCCAGGAAGAGCAUGAGGACAUGGAGCGGAGCGUUCAGGGCUAUCAGGAGGGAGCCCCGUGGCCACGGUGCAAGAUCUAGGCAGGCGGGACAGACAUGGUCAGGAUGCUGGGGACACAGCAUGGGGAAUCCAGCACACAGGACACCAUCCAGGAAAGCAAAGCUGCAGCCUGAGAUCUCCUUCCACCAACUCCUGGCAUGGCCAGAAAGUUAGCCAGAAACACCAGAAAGUGCCAGGCAGCUAGGAAGCAUGGGGAGAGCCCCCUGAAGCUGCGUGUGUAGUGCCUGCUUCCGCUGCCAUCCCAGAAAUGGACGAGCUUCACCCUGAGAACCCAGCCACACCACUGGGACACAUCCUGACAGUGACAUGCACACUCUUCCCUGGCCCCAGCCUGGAGAGGAGCCUCCUGAAGACACCAGCCUUUGCUCCUUCUCCCAGUGGGAGUGGAGAGAACUGACUGCUGGAGUGGAGACAGUCAAGGCUGUCCUUCUGAGGGAGCACAGCACAGGGUCUGGUGUCCCAGGGAGGCAAUCUGAAAUUCAAGCCAGGCCUCCCCAGCGGAGAGGACACACCCCUCACCAUGCAGAGUGACGUUUAGUAAACUCUCAAAAGAGAGCACAGAGCCCCACUCCUCCAGCCGACCCAUACUCUGCCUCCCCACUCCAGACCAGUGAACAAGGUGGAUUGCCCUUAAGCCAGCUCAGAGGCAAAGUCCAAAGACCUCAGGUGAGUCAAACAAUAAAAACAAAGAAUUAAGAAGAAUCCAGCUGGGUGCGGUGGCUCACGCCUGUAAUCCCAGCACUUUGGGAGGCUGAGGCGGGAGGAUCACGAGCAGGAGGUCGAGACCAUCCUGGCUAACACGGUGAAACCCCGUCUCUACU